GAUGAACGCUGGCGGCGUGCCUAAUACAUGCAAGUCGAGCGAACGGACGAGAAGCUUGCUUCUCUGAUGUUAGCGGCGGACGGGUGAGUAACACGUGGAUAACCUCCCUAUAAGACUGGGAUAACUUCGGGAAACCGGAACUAAUACCGGAUAAUAUUUUGAACCGCAUGGUUCAAAAGUGAAAGACGGUCUUGCUGUCACUUAUAGCUGGAUCCGCGCUGCAUUAGCUAGUUGGUAAGGUAACGGCUUACCAAGGGAACGAAGCAUAGCCGACCUGAGAGGGUGAUCGGCCACACUGGAACUGAGACACGGUCCAGACUCCUACGGGAGGCAGCAGUAGGGAAUCUUCCGCAAAGGGCGAAAGCCUGACGGAGCAACGCCGCGUGAGUGAUGAAGGUCUUCGGAUCGUAAAACUCUGUUAUUAGGGAAGAACAUAUGUGUAAGUAACUGUGCACAUCUUGACGGUACCUAAUCAGAAAGCCACGGCUAACUACGUG
rnacentral:rRNA from 1 species